rnacentral:lncRNA from 1 species
CUGUGAUCAUCCCCAGGUAAACCCUCGGACGUGGGCCCGGUGCCCUCCUUGCUGAGGCUGAAGCCACGUGGCCAUGAAAACCUGAGCAUCACAAGCCGCUCUCUGCGUUUGUGGUGUGAUCAGGGCCUUCUACCACAAGCCAUGUGCCCAGGCUGAUCCUCUCUAAUGUGGAGAGGCGGCUGCGCUGGAAAGGCCUCAGUAAGAGCAGCUGGGCCCUUGCAGACAGACAUCACGGUGUGACCCUCGGGACUGGCUCCCUGCGGCCACUGCAGCACAGGUGUUCACAUCUCACAGUGGAGGCAGUGGAGACCAUGCUCGCCUGCAGGCUCUCGGCGAGGCUCUGAGUCUGGCCCCUUGCGUAGCCCCUGGUGACUCCUUGGCUUCUGGAGCGGAACUCCAUCCUUCACAUGGCGCUUUCCUCGAGGGCCUGUGUGCGUGUCAUCUGUGGCCAAGUUCCCACUUCAUAAGGACAUCAGUCAUAUUGGAUGGGGUCCCACCCUGCUCCAAUGAGACCCCAUCUUUUUUUUUUUUUUUU